rnacentral:rRNA from 1 species
GUCCACGCUGUAAACGAUGCGUGCUGGACGUUGGGGGGCAUCGCCCUUCAGUGUCGUAGCUAACGCGGUAAGCACGCCGCCUGGGGAGUACGGCCGCAAGGUUAAAACUCAAAGGAAUUGACGGGGGCCCCGCACAAGCGGUGGAGCAUGUGGUUUAAUUCGAUGCAACGCGUAGAACCUUACCAGCCCUUGACAUGGGACGUGUGGGAAUCAGAGAUGGUUCCCUUCAGUUCGGCUGGCGUCCACACAGGUGCUGCAUGGCUGUCGU